UUCUGUUGGUGCUUUGGCCACUAUUGUGCUUCUUAGAGUUUCUGUUCUUGAUAGUUUAGAAAGGCCAACUAGGCCUAACCUAAUUUAUUCUCUUGCAUGGCAUUGAUAUCCUGUUAUGAGCUUCUCCAUUGUUUUUUUUUUUUCAGUUCUUGAAUUUAUCUUAUUGUUCUAUACUUAGUUUAAUUAUUGUAGUAAUUUAAUCGAACUAUACUUCCUCCUCUAUUACCCGUAAUAGUUUAUUUGAAAUUCUUGUUCUUUACAUUUAUGUGGAAACAGUGGCGGGUGAUUAUCUUUUUUCUUUUGCAUUAAUUCGUGAUUGGCAAACUUGUCAGGUUGGAAUUUUAUUUCUCUUCUUAGGCUUAACCAAAGAUUGUCCAAUUUUACCUGAUGAUCAUGACAAAUAGAUUGAAUUAUGAUUUGACAGUUUGAAUUUAUGAUAGUGUUUGUGCACUUUGGUGAUGCUAAAUUGAAAAUAAAGAUCUUGGAGUCAUUCCUUUCAUUUUGGUAGUGAAAAUUAGCAAGAGCUCAGGAUUACUUGGCUUCAAUCUUUUUCCUACAAAGAUUUAUUUUGUCUUUUUUCAUUUUCUCCAUUCACAAAUGAAUUUUGAACUUGUUCUUUCGAAAGCAUCAAUGUUCUUUCCCACUUUGUGUUGCAAGAUUAUUGAUCUUUUGUAUCGCAGUUCUGAAUUAAUUUUUUUUUACCCUUGUAUUGAGAAAUAGAUUUCUGAGUCAUUCCUUUCAUGUUAGUAGUUGUAAUUAGCAAGAGCUUAGGGAUUUUUGACUUCUUUUCUUUGAUUGCAAAACUUUAUUUUGUAUGGUCUUGAAUUGAAAAACGAAUUUUGAAUCUGGUAUUGCAUGCUGUUGGAAUUCUUGAUUUUAUUUUUUAUUUUAGCCUACAAUUUCAUGAGUCUUGACUUUGCCAUUCUUAUUCUUGGGGUUUGUACUCGUAUGUUUUGCUUUUCAAGUUGAAAAUGUUUUUACCUUAAUUUUAUUUGCGUGCUUCAGAUUGAAUAUCUUAAUAUACUGAUUUCUUUGUUUCUCUGCACCUGUGUCGAGUAACAUCCUGCUUAGCAUCGUGCCUUUUAUCAGUUUCUCCAUUGGGUUUUUCAUUCUUGAAUUCGUCUUAUCCAGUUUUUCUACAAUGUCGUCUCAAUUUAAGAAGUUUAUAGUUUUCUUCAAUUCUUGGUCUUUUCAGGGAAGACAACCAAUGGAUCACGUGAAGAGGCACCUGAAUUUGGGGAGGAUUUGUCUUCAUCUCGCAGGGAAGAGAAGCAGUGAUUGUGUGGUUUGGUUGUUGAAGAAAUCUUGCUACAUGAUUUGGUAAUCUCUUUUAUUGAUUCUGAAUCUUGGAUUUGAUUUUGGUAAUCUUCACUGGUCUAAUGCGAUACCUGUAUUUUAUUGGUGGUCGUAUUGGUAUUUCUCAAUUUUAAUCCCUUGCUAUUUUUGUUCAAUCUCAAUAGUUUUACAGGAAGCAUCCAUGUCAUAUUGUUCAUUCAAACAAUUGAUUUGAGUAGGAUAAGAUCGUUAUCUUAUCACAUCCUGAACACCAAACAGCUCCUGACAAUUUUGAGAAUUGAUUCUUAUGUGAAAUUUUUAGAACAAAGUAAAAUAAAAUCAUAUUUCGAAAAUCGAAUUCUAUUUUUAUACUUUUUCUGACUUGUAUUGAGGUUCAUCUUCGAGAACAUAAAAUGAAAAAAAAAAAAAAAAA